rnacentral:rRNA from 1 species
AACGAACGCUGGCGGCAGGCCUAACACAUGCAAGUCGAGCGCCCCGCAAGGGGAGCGGCGGACGGGUGAGUAACGCGUGGGAACGUGCCCCUUUCUACGGGGUAGCCUCGGGAAACUGGGAGUAAUACCGUAUAAGCCCUACGGGGGAAAGAUUUAUCGGGAAGGGAUCGGCCCGCGUUGGAUUAGGUAGUUGGUGGGGUAAUGGCCUACCAAGCCGACGAUCCAUAGCCGGUUUGAGAGGAUGAUCAGCCACACUGGGACUGAGACACGGCCCAGACUCCUACGGGAGGCAGCAGUGGGGGAUCUUAGACAAUGGGCGCAAGCCUGAUCUAGCCAUGCCGCGUGAGCGAUGAAGGCCUUAGGGUUGUAAAGCUCUUUCAGUGGGGAAGAUAAUGACUGUACCCACAGAAGAAGCCCCGGCUAACUCCGUGCCAGCAGCCGCGGUAAU